rnacentral:rRNA from 1 species
ACUCCUACGGGAGGCAGCAGUGGGGAAUAUUGCACAAUGGGGGAAACCCUGAUGCAGCCAUGCCGCGUGUGUGAAGAAGGCCUUCGGGUCGUAAAGCACUUUCAGUAGGGAGGAAGGUAGUGUAGUUAACACCUGCACUAUUUGACGUUACCUACAGAAGAAGCACCGGCUAACUCCGUGCCAGCAGCCGCGGUAAUACGGAGGGUGCGAGCGUUAAUCGGAAUUACUGGGCGUAAAGCGCAUGCAGGCGGCCUGUUAAGUCAGAUGUGAAAGCCCGGGGCUUAACCUCGGAAUUGCAUUUGAAACUGGCAGGCUAGAGUCUUGUAGAGGGGUUAGAAUUUCAGGUGUAGCGGUGAAAUGCGUAGAGAUCUGAAGGAAUACCAGUGGCGAAGGCGCCCCGUGGACAAAGACUGACGCUCAGAUGCGAAAGCGUGGGAGCAAACAGG